CGAAGAGUAGUGGUCGUUUUUGUAGACAAAUGCUCACGAGAUAAAGGAAAUUACUUUGGUAAAAGAAGAAGCCAUUUAAUUCAGAACACUUCGCUUGAAACCCUAAUCUAUCAAAUAUGAGUUUUUGCUUAACUGAAGACUUGGCUUGUAUCAAAACGACUUCAUAGAAGUAUCGAAACUCUUGUAGGAACCAGGAACCAUAGACCAGGAACCAGGAACCGAAAAACAAGGACCAGAAACCAGGAGCUGAAAAACAAGGACCAGAAUCUAGGAGCCGAGAAAUAAGAACCAGGAACCGAGAAACGAGGACAAGCCCAGGGAGCAGGGAUUAGGAACCACGAACCAUGGACCAGGAAACAGGAACCAGAGACUAUGGACCAGGAAACAGGACCCACCAACUAAGGACCGAAAUUCAGGAACCAUUGAUCAGGAACCAUGGACCAGGAAACAGGAACAACUGACGAUGAACCAAUAACCAGGGACCACGAACCAUGGACCAAGAAUCAUGAACUAAGACCGGGAAACAGGAACCACGAACCAUCGACCAAGAACCAGGGACCAGGAACCAGGGACCAUGGACCAGGAAUCAGGAACAGUGAACCAAGAACCAGGGACUACGAACCAGGUAUAAGAUACUGCUCAAGCCUUAUAAUGGGGCCUUAUAAUCGGUCUCAUCACGUUUCGUGGGUGACUGGUCACGUCUAAUCCACGACGACAAGUUUAACCUUUCUACACCAAUAUCAUAAUGUGGCCAAUUACUCCUGAAUGGCUCAUUACUACAGGGCUUGUGUGAAAUAAAUUCGAAGUAUUCUCAUGGUGUAUAAGUGGUCAGAAGAUUAUACACAACUCGAGGGAAUUGCUACAAAUCAGAAAUACUACAAACUUGUAGAAAUUAUUGGAAGGAGAGUCACCCAAAAGUACUGCUGCUGAAAAAGGAACAAAAACACGGUGUGUGACAUCGAAUAACUCUCUUAUGAAGAAAGGAAGUCUGGGAAAGACAAUUAUUUCAACAAAUCAUAGAAAUGAGGAACCUACAAGACAGGAUCACCCAGUAUAAAAGAAAAAAUUACUCCUUAAUAUAAAAGUUAAAGACAUCAUAAUCUUAAUGAUACCAUUAAAACUACAGUAUGUUAGUACUGUAAAAUUUAUAGUCACGAGCUAGUGUUGUUUUAUCA